GACGAACGCUGGCGGCGUGCUUAACACAUGCAAGUCGAGCGGAGCGGCGAACGGGUGAGUAACGCGUGAGUAACUGCCCUCCUCUCUGGGAUAACAGUUGGAAACGGCUGCUAAUACCGGCUAGUGGGGGAUGACUCGCGUCCUAUCAGCCUGUUGGUGGGGUAGUGGCCUACCAAGGCGACGACGGGUACCCGGCCUGAGAGGGCGACCGGCCACAUUGGGCUGAGAUACGUACCAAACUCCUACGGGAGGCAGCGGUGGGGAAUAUUGGACAAUGGGGGAAAGCCUGAUGCAGCAAGGCGCGUGCGGGAUGACGGCCUUCGGGUUGUAAACCGCUUGCAGCCAUGAAGCGGUAGUGGCAGAAGAAGCACCGGCUAACUACGUGCCAGCAGCCGCGGUAAUAC
rnacentral:rRNA from 1 species